rnacentral:rRNA from 1 species
UGGGGAAUAUUGCGCAAUGGGGGAAACCCUGACGCAGCGACGCCGCGUGCGGGAUGAAGGCCUUCGGGUUGUAAACCGCUUUUGUUUGGGAGCAAGCUUUCGGGUGAGUGUACCUUUCGAAUAAGCGCAGGCUAACUACGUGCCAGCAGCCGCGGUAAUACGUAGGGCGCAAGCGUUAUCCGGAAUUAUUGGGCGUAAAGCGAGCGCAGGCGGUCAAUUAAGUCUGAUGUGAAAGCCCCCGGCUCAACCGGGGAGGGUCAUUGGAAACUGGUAGACUUGAAUGCAGUAGGGGGGAGUGAAAUUCCGUGUGUAGCGGUGAAAUGCGUAGAUAUAUGGAGGAACACCAGUGGCGAAGGCGACUCUCUGGUCUGUAACUGACGCUGAGGCUCGAAAGCGUGGGUAGCCAACAGG